UUAAGUUCAGCGGGUAUCCCUACCUGAUCCGAGGUCAAGCGUAAAGGUAUAGGCUUGUGGACGCCGCCGCACCCAGCGGAGAGCGCAAAAUGUGCUGCGCUCUCACGACGGGACGCUGGCUGCCAAUGCAUUUGAGGCGAGUUCACGCGCGCGGCGGAACAAAACGCCCAACACCCAGCAGGGCUGGAGGGUACAAAUGA
rnacentral:misc_RNA from 1 species